GGAAGUCUGUGUUAAUCAGUGUUAGACUAAACUUCACACUCGCGGACUUAAAUGCUGGUUAGCUCUAGCUUUCUGCCCCAUAGACUAGGCCUGUAAUAUUAAAUCUAGCAUAAGAUCUUUUAACUUUCCAUUAGCUAAACUAGGACGCUUCCUGACUGGUAGGGUAGCCUACGCCUGCGUUGUGUAGACUAGUGUUCCAGUAUGUUAAUUAUUAACACGUUCAAACAAGAGAUGUAUGUCAUCCUGCAGUUUUUUUUUCUCUUCUGCUCAGGUUGCCUUUCCGCCAUGUCUUUCGUAAACUGUUGCCUACAGCCUUCAUGUCAUAUUGAUUUCAGCUUUUCUGGUGCAAUACUUUGCGUGGAAUACUGGUGUUGCAGAGGACUCGGGCGUCAAACACAACCCGACUACCUUCGUACGAUUACACUACCUAACGACAAACAAUCGUGAUAAAAAAAAACUCGUUCGUUCGGUGGUCACAGGUGGUCAAAAUAGCCAAAAAGGAGGUAAUUAUAUUUCACUUAAGGGAUCAUUUCUGAUAAACCGUCGGACAAGGUGUUAUUCUGGUAGCCCAACGGGAAAACUUUGUGCUGGGACGUGGAGCUAACGAUUUUGCAAGCUCUGACAAGUGUGUUCCCGUGAUGUGAUAUUUUUUAUAAUUAUAAAAAAUGCGCACCAAAUAAUGAAUGUCGCUAUGGGGCUCAAGGGGCUCCGUAUCUUGGGACAACCAUGUUUUUCAGGUAACGUUAACUAGGCUAUAUUGCCUUCAGUGUGCCCAAAGGCGUGGUGACUUUGAAUAUACUUGUUUUAUUCAUAUAAAACUCUCCAUAAAAAUGUGAAGUGAAACUAUGUUUAAAUACCUCACCACCACUAAAACAAAAUGCCUCUGUCCAUAUUCUUGUGUUUUAAAAGAUAUAUUUUACAGACUUUAGGCCUUUCUGAGUCUUGAUUCACUGCUCACUACAGACAACAGCCCGCUCUUAAGAGAAGAAGCUGCACUUGGACAAAAGGCCUAUAGUUUAACCGCACCCUUGCCACAAAAUACUCCAACCCUGACACUCUGCCAGGGACAUCACUUCUCAUAGUACUUUUUUUUUAUAAAAAUACUGUGUAAAACUUCACUUCAUCUUUUUUUGGGGUGAAGGGCAACUUGAAAUGAUCCACACAAUGACAGUUCUUUUUGAGUAUGGUACUUUCUGUGCUACUAGUUGACAUCCCCCACUUGUGAAUUUGUAGGCCUCCAUCAGCUUGGCUUCAUGAUGACCACCAUUUCAUCUGUUUCACUCAUCAUCACUGGACAUAAGUCUUGUAGCUGUUUCCUGUAAAACUGCAAAAAGGAGAAGGAAGUAUUGUUUAAAAAUCAGGCCAUAUAUUUGAAAAAUAACUAGUAGUUAAAGGCGACUUAAGAAACUUUCUGCCUGUGUGCUGUCAUUGGCUAUAAGAAAGGCUAAAACCUGUCCAGUGGAAACCCCAUCUCCAGGCUGUACAUUUUGCGACAGAAGAACAUUCCGAAACCCGAGCAUUCAUUGUUUGCUUAUAGGGUGAAGAGCAUAGUGCAGUGUUUUUCACCCUCUGCAGGCAACCAUGAUUGUGUGUGUGUUUCAGAGGGGAAUAUUGAUUAAAAUCUUUCAUUAAAAAACA